rnacentral:lncRNA from 1 species
AUAUAUAUAUAAGAGUAGUGACGGUGAGCAGUACGGUGAGCAGUAGUCCGCCGUCAAAGAAAGCCCCUAUCAAUCGAUGGAAGCAACGUAGACUGUUUUUAUACAUUAUCUUGUAAAAAGAAAAAAGUUAGAGUGUUGUGCCCUAGUGUAUAAGGCAAUGGAAAAUCAUAUAAAUAAACAAAUAAAAUAAUAAAAAAAGCAAUAUUGUGCCCGAGGCUUAUACUAAAACAGUGAGAAUAAAUAAAUUUCGCUUGGAUAAAUUUGUGGUUGAGGAAAUAAUGGCAGCAGCCGACUCAUCAACCAACGACAGCCUUUAUCCAAUUGCAGCUUUGAUAGAUGAAUCAUAAAAUGAAAAUUUACUACUGCGAUUUAAUUCGAUCGAAAAACUUUCAACGAUUGCCUUGGCACUUGGUUCUGAACGUACUCGUAGUGAGUUGAUGCCUUUUUUGACGUGGACAAUGUAUGAUGGAGAUGAAAUUUAAUUGGCACUCGCUGAACAACUUGUAACAUUCACACCACUCGUAGGUGGACUUGAUCAUGUUUAUUGUUUAUUGCCACCACUUGAAGCAUUGGCAGCUGUUGAAGAAACAGUUGUACGUGACAAAGCAGUUGAAUUGUCGCGUAAUAUUGCAAGUCAACACAGUCCAGUAUAUCUUGAAGAUCAUUUUGUUCCAUUGGUAUACAACGUUUGGCAUCUGGUGAUUAAUUUACGUCAAGAACAUCAGCAUGUGGUUUAAUAAGUUUAUGUUAUCCACAUGUAAGUGGUUCUAGUGAUGAGGAAUCACCAGUUAGAAGCGGACGGAAAGAAGAAGGUCCUUUGAGAAAUCAAUCUAUGGGAGAUUCUGAAAUAGAUUAUGGAGAUUCUAAAUAUAUACAUCCAUAAUUAUAGAAUUUUUCUAUCGCUCUAUUUUUUUCUCUUCUUUUUAUGUAUUUUUCAUUUGUAUCGUCGAUAUACAAUUUUGUAUGUUGUAAUCAUAUUUAUAUGACUGAAAUGAUAAAUUAUUAUUAUAACCGUGUUAUUUAUGCAUAUUUUCAGAUUAUUUUCAAUAUAAACGAAUUUAUACAGUCAUUUUUUUACUGUGAUAUAUAAUCAGAUAAUUAACCGCUAACAAACCGCUAACCAACCACAAAUAAACUGAGUUGAAUUAACCGCUAACGAACCACUAACAAACUCUAAAUAAACUAUGAGUAAACCAUAAAUGCUGACCCGAAAAGUUCGUUUCUGGUUAGUUUUUGGUUAGUUAUUUUAAUCUAAAAUAUUUGGGUUUGAACAAGGUUUAUCAACGGUCAAUUAACGGUUACUUCUACUUUGUUUAUAUUUAGGUUUAAAAAUGGUUUGUUUGUGGUUUUUUUUGCACACAUUCCAACCUUGAGACGACCGUUUAAUAACGGUUCAUAAAGGGUUGGGUCGUACGGUUAGGGAAUGCACCAGGUAGUGGUUUUAAUAUUCUAAUAAAUUUUGAUGUUUGUUGAUAAUCCGUAUGUAAAAAUAAUAUAUAAUCAACUGGCAUCUUUAAUAGUAAUUUUUGUCCACUCAUUGAUGCAAUUUUUCUCAACACAAUAACCAGAAGUAACAGCAUUUUCAGUAUCAGUAUACCAUCCCAUGCGAAAAUGGCGACACCGAUCCGACACCAAUCCGACAGUCGGUUUGUGCACUGAUCUCAUACAAAAACGACACAAAACCGACACACAACUAUAAGAAUUUCAAAGUCACAAAAAUAAACAGUAAGAAGCAUUUAAAAAAUGAAAUAUUAUGUCUAAAAAUUUCUAAAUAGUAUUCUUAUAAUUUGAGACACGUUAGAAUUUUUUUUUAAUAAUUUUUUUUUUGAAAAAACUCAAUUUUGUUUAUGUAUUAAAAGUGAGGUUAGCUGUCAGAAUCAUCUGUACAUGACUGUGAGAUUUUACAAUUCUCACACAAUUCCGACACAAUUCCGUCACAAGUCCGACCGACGUACGACAGUAUAUCCUUAUUUUGUAUUUAAUAUAAAAAAAGAGCAUUUUAUUAAUAAAAAUUUUUGUUCAA